AGUGAACGCUGGCGGUAGGCCUAACGCAUGCAAGUCGAACGGCAGCACAGUAAGAGCUUGCUCUUACGGGUGGCGAGUGGCGGACGGGUGAGGAAUACAUCGGAAUCUACUUUUUCGUGGGGGAUAACGUAGGGAAACUUACGCUAAUACCGCAUACGACCUACGGGUGAAAGCAGUGGAUCUUCGGACCUUGCGCGAUUGAAUGAGCCGAUGUCGGAUUAGCUAGUUGGCGGGGUAAAGGCCCACCAAGGCGACGAUCCGUAGCUGGUCUGAGAGGAUGAUCAGCCACACUGGAACUGAGACACGGUCCAGACUCCUACGGGAGGCAGCAGUGGGGAAUAUUGGACAAUGGGCGCAAGCAUGAUCCAGCCAUACCGCGUGGGUGAAGAAGGCCUUCGGGUUGUAAAGCCCUUUUGUUGGGAAAGAAAAGCAGCAGGUUAAUACCCCGCUGUUCUGACGGUACCCAAAGAAUAAGCACCGGCUAACUUCGUG
rnacentral:rRNA from 1 species